rnacentral:rRNA from 1 species
GUGGGGAAUAUUGGACAAUGGGCGAAAGCCUGAUCCAGCCAUGCCGCGUGUGUGAAGAAGGUCUUCGGAUUGUAAAGCACUUUAAGUUGGGAGGAAGGGUAGUAACCUAAUACGUUGCUACUUUGACGUUACCGACAGAAUAAGCACCGGCUAACUUCGUGCCAGCAGCCGCGGUAAUACGAAGGGGGCAAGCGUUAAUCGGAAUUACUGGGCGUAAAGCGCGCGUAGGUGGUUCAGUAAGUUGGAAGUGAAAUCCCCGGGCUCAACCUGGGAACUGGUUUCAAAACUGCUGAGCUAGAGUACGGUAGAGGGUGGUGGAAUUUCCUGUGUAGCGGUGAAAUGCGUAGAUAUAGGAAGGAACACCAGUGGCGAAGGCGACCACCUGGACUGAUACUGACACUGAGGUGCGAAAGCGUGGGGAGCAAACAGGAUUAGAAACCCCAGUAGUCC